rnacentral:rRNA from 1 species
GACAUGCAGAGAACUUUCAGAGAUGGAUUGGUGCCUUCGGGAACGUCUGACACAGGUGCUGCAUGGCUGUCGUCAGCUCGUGUCGUGAGAUGUUGGGUUAAGUCCGUAACGAGCGCAACCCUUGUCCUUAGUUACCAGCACGUUAUGGUGGGCACUCUAAGGAGACUGCCGGUGACAAACCGGAGGAAGGUGGGGGAUGACGUCAAGUCAUCAUGGCCCUUACGGCCUGGGCUACACACGUGCUACAAUGGUCGGUACAAAGGGUUGCCAAGCCGCGAGGUGGAGCUAAUCCCAUAAAACCGAUCGUAGUCCGGAUCGCAGUCUGCAACUCGACUGCGUGAAGUCGGAAUCGCUAGUAAUCGUGAAUCAGAAUGUCACGGUGAAUACGUUCCCGGGCCUU